rnacentral:rRNA from 1 species
AGAUUGAACGCUGGCGGCAGGCCUAACACAUGCAAGUCGAGCGGUAGAGAGGUGCUUGCACCUCUUGAGAGCGGCGGACGGGUGAGUAAUGCCUAGGAAUCUGCCUAGUGGUGGGGGAUAACGUUCGGAAACGGACGCUAAUACCGCAUACGUCCUACGGGAGAAAGCGGGGGACCUUCGGGCCUCGCGCCAUUAGAUGAGCCUAGGUCGGAUUAGCUAGUUGGUGAGGUAAUGGCUCACCAAGGCGACGAUCCGUAACUGGUCUGAGAGGAUGAUCAGUCACACUGGAACUGAGACACGGUCCAGACUCCUACGGGAGGCAGCAGUGGGGGAA